UGCUAGUUGGAUAAUUUAGGAUUGCUAGGUA
rnacentral:piRNA from 2 species